GUGCACUGAGUUGAGGGGAAAUGGGCUUCCCCUCAUAAAGGUGAUGCCCACCAUGCUGCCACUGAAGCAGCAUGGCAGAAGAAGUGGUUGUGGAAGCCACUGUGGGAGGAAAGCGGGAAUGACUCUCUGGAAGACAUGUCAAAGGCUCAUUAGAAUGACAGAGCUUCUCUGGCUCUGGACACUGUGGUUUUUCCAGGGUUAUUUAUGAAGAAGGUGUGGCCAGACAAAUGCUGGAGCAAGGGAAACUGUCCAACAGAACAAGAUGUUCUCCUGGCACAGUGGGAAACCUGAUGCUUCUUUCGAGAGUCAGUGGAUAAGACCAACCUUAAACCUGUGCAGCAGGGAGGACUUCCACACAAGGAUGCAUUUUUUGCACCUAGCGAGUCACUGAUGUUUUCCAUGUGUCGCAGUGUUGCCAUGAACCUGUAUUUGGUGUCUCUGCUUGUUCCACUGCGCUGAAUUGAGAAAUGGACGUGGUCCGUAGCUCCUGUUAAACUGUUCAGACCACUUGGCUCUGUUGGUUUUGGCAAACUUACCUAGAGUCUUGCAAGGGCCAGGUUCACCCCCACACAUCCAGAUCAGCAAAACGUUUGCUGUUCUCUGAAGCAAUUGUUGGUGAUGACAUAUUUUGUGACAGGAAAUCAUUGCAAAAUGCUUGGCUCUCAGGAUGAAAACCAUGCAUCCAGCUCAGAAAAAUAAAUGCGACCGGUAUGUUCUAAGCAUAGAUCUCUUCAGAUUUUGUUCUAGGACAAAAAUCAACCCCACUUUUCAGGACUUAUUGUUCUAAUCAUUAACGCCUGGGCAGUCAGUACAUCUGUUACUGUUACAAUCUCUGAUUUUCCACUGGAAAAAAAAAAGAGAGAAAAGUUAAAGUUUAACCACAGCCAUUGAGUUUGCCCACGCCAAUCAAACAGGAGACAAGCCAUUACAAUAUCUCAGUAACUUGUUCCGUGGAUAAUUCCCCUGGCAAUAUUAAGGAAUUAAAUGCAAGACUGGUAGAUCCAUUAGUAUUGUUUAGAUUUGCAAAGCAUAACAGAAGUUCAAACUGCCUUGAAUGACUGCCUCUUUACGAGGCUAGUGGAGGUAGCCCUCUCACCAUGGCUCCUGAUGGAAUGACCAAGGAAGAGCUGCGAGGUAAGCAAACAGAACAUCUUCCUACAGAACACCCAAAAAGGAAGCAAUAGAGAAUGACAAGGCAGGAGUUCUCUGUGCAGGAACAUGUCUACGGGUGCAUGUUGGAGCAGACCUGCUCAGCGUCUGAUUAAGAUAUUUGAAGUUUAGGGUGAUAUAUGAAAAGUAAACAGACAAAUGAAAAGCCUUACACGAACAAAGCACACCCCACCACCCCCCUUCCGCUGAGCUCCUUAAAGCUUUGUUCUACCAGGGAAUAGUACCAGUUUCCCAAUUCACUGCCACCUUACGGCAUUUCAGAGAGAUGACACUUCAGUAAUUCCUAUUGGAUGCUUCCUAUUUUCAAGCAGCCUCGCUGGGAACUCGGUCGUUACAGAAACACGGCAGCUGUAAACCUGCCCCUUGCAGCCAGGUUUGGAACAAUAUCAGUGCCUGAGACGCUGGAUUAUACAAGCUUGUGAAAACCGAUCAUUAAAACGUCAAUUCUAUUUAUAUUUGCAGAUUCUCAAGGGAGGUCAUUUCAUCAGCCAAGAGGCCGAAAAUAAAGAUGAACUUUGCAAUGUUGUCAAAAGAGAA